GUUUUGAGGUUGAUGCCAGCUCUCUCUCUUUUCCUUCAAAUGACAGGAUAGAGGUCGCUUGAUAUCAAAGGGGAGGAAAAGACAAACAGCUCCCCAAGCAUCCAGCUACCCGAUUUCUCUAAACCCACCCACAUUGUGUAAAUGCAAAACAGUUGCCAGAUGUGCUUUACUCAAAGGAGAGCUUUGGCUUUUAGCCCUUUGCUACACUUCGGGGACAAGGCCUGCUGAGCAUCAUCACAUGACACCGGCUUGGCCCUGUCCCAUUCAUCACUCAAAAAUGGCGAGGAAAUGUUGUGAGAUAUUUCCUCGCCCACGACAGAAAGAAUUGAAGACCUCAAAAUACAGACGUCUUAAAACCUUGGAUUGCAUUCAGAGGGAAGGUCAGAGUCCAUAGCGUCUCAAGGCCAGCUGAUACAGAGAAAUAUAUGCCGUCUUGUGAACAUGGCUGCAAUCUUGCUGUGUGUUCUUUAGUCACAGUGGCUAUGAAAAGAAGCAACCGUGAUUUCUACAUUUCUCAACAUUUUAACCAACUGCUCGGCUUAGCGAAAGUUAUCCAUUUACUUUGAGUGUCAUAUUCAGUGGGGCCAAAUAUAGCUGUGAACACCCUUGUCUAAUAACCAUGUGAAACCCAACUAUGUCCAACGACUUCAGUGAGGUUUCCCCCUCUUUUUUAUGUAUCUCAAGUUACACAGCUGAGUUGAGCUUGUGCGGCUGGUUGUUCAUGUUAGGAUUAUAUGAUCUAUUCAUUUUCCCCUUUGUGUAAUGUUUAUGCUGAAGAGUAUUACAGCAACUCUAACUACAUUAAUAAAAUGUUGGCUAUCGAAUA
rnacentral:lncRNA from 11 species